rnacentral:lncRNA from 10 species
CUCAGCCUCCGGAGUAGCUGGGACUACAGGCGCUCACUACCUCGCCCGGCUAAUUUUUUGUAUUUUUACUAGAGACGAGGUUUCACCGUGUUAGCCAGGAUGGUCUCGAUCUCCUGACCUCGUGAUCCGCCCGUCUCGGCUUCCCAAAGUGUUGGGAUUACAGGCGUGAGCCAGCGCGCCCGGACGAAUAUUUGCUCUUCAACAAUUGCCUUGAAGCACAGAGAUGUGGCCAUCAGUGUGUUGAAUAGGAAUCCUUAUUAUAAGUGGUCAUUGUUCAAGUGAAGGAAAGAAAAAUAAGUCAUGCGAUAAAACUCUUCGGCUGUACAAAACCUAGAAAAUCUUAGUUACUCCAGGACAAUAAGAGGAGUAAUGCUUACUUGGGCACUUGGAGAAUGAACAUGAAUUGCCUUACCCAAGGCGAUAUUUGCAUUAUGCAAAAAUAAAAAGUAUCUGCAUGAAUAUGAAUAUGACUAUAAAUAUUACUGAUAUUACAAAUUAUAUUUAUUUUCAAUCUAAAAGGAACCAUACCAAUUUUCCUUUUCCUCUAGUAUUGCAUAAAACUUUCUGAUUAUUUUGACUUCUUCCUUUCAAAUAUUUCAAUGAUUACUUAUUUUUUUCAAAAAGAUGAAUUAGAUUUACCUAGAUCUAAUUAGCUAAGAUGCGGUGACACUGGAGUAGGGCAGACUCGUAAUCCAGACUGGUGUCCUUAUAAAACAGAGAAAUUGGAGCAUAUACAUGCACACAGGAGAAACACCAUGUGAAAAUGAAGGAAGAAAUUAGGAUAUUGAAGCAUAUGACAAAGAACACCAAAGACGUAGAGCAAGUAACAAGAAGAAGGUAGAAAAGAAGCAUGGGACAGAUUUCUUACUCACAGCCCCCAGAAGGAACCAACCCUGCCAAUACCUUUAUCUUGAUUCUGACUUGCUGAUCGUGAGACAAUAAAUUCAUGUUGUGUAAGCCAUCCAGUUUGUGGUAUUUUGUUAGGGAAGCCCUAGCAAGCUGACUGGUUUGUUGUCCUCUA